rnacentral:piRNA from 1 species
UCCUGAAUGCUGGAAUUUAAAGCGUGCA